rnacentral:lncRNA from 1 species
UGAGCAGAUCCACACGUACGUCGCAGCAAAAAUGUUAAAAGAAUGUUGGUUGUGUAGUCACUUUGAUCAGACACGUUUAAAAGGAUAUUGUAUAUAGUUGUAAUAGUAAGUAGUGCACUAUAUGGAGUGCUCAGGUGAGCCGAAUAAUGGUCGUUUAUAUGUAAGCGGACUAUGUCCACAUGUUGAAGCUGCUGCUACUAGUACGUUUGGAAGCGCUCAGCUAGUACAAUACUCAAAUCUUAUGGAAUGAAAUGGCUAUGUAGUGUGAUGCAUCGUUAUUUAGCCAAGUGAACUAGAUAAAUGUUCGUGUAAAUCUGAAGUGAUACUUGUCCACUUCAAUAUUAGAAUCAUCAAGCUCUAUAGGGGGAAACUUAUCACCUUGGGCUUGAGAGCAUCUCUAGCUCUAAAAACAUUAUACAGUUCCGAGCAGUUUUACGCCUCCUUUGGUUCUAAUUCAUAGGAAUACUAUAGUUCUAAUUCAUAGGAAUUCUAGAGGAGGAUUUGCAAAGAAAGUUUUUCUUUGAAGCCCUUUGGUUUAUAACAGGAGCCAAUCUUUUGAAGGAAUGGAUUUCUGUAAUGUUGAGACUCAGAUGGAAAAAUUCCUAUCCUACGCAUAAAAGGAAUUGAGAUGCAGAUCAUCUCACUUCUUACGAUUUUUUUUAUUCCUAUACUAUUUCUACCCUAUGAAACCAAAGGAGGUCAUCUCACUUCUUACGAUUUUCUUAUUCCUAUACCAUUUUCUAUACUAUAAAACCAAAGGAGGUCAUCUCACUUCGUAUGAUUUUCUUAUUCCUAUACCAUUUCUAUCCUAUAAAACCAAAGGAGGUAACAUGCUUCCUUUUACCUCCUCUUUUCACAUGAAGAUAAGAGUAUAUAUUAGAUCUGAGUCAUUUAUCUCAUUAAUUAGUGGUCUCCUUCUUACCUUCUCUUUUUAUACGAAGAUAAUUAAUAAAUCUGAGUCAUUUAUCUCAUUAAUUAGUGGCUUCUCAUUAAUUAGUGGUCUGAUUGCUUUUAUCUUCUUAACUCACAUGUAAGAAAAAGAUAAAAGGAGCAUGUUAAAAUUUGCCAUACAGUCCCCUAAACAAAUUUGCGGGAAGGAAUACUAGAGUCUGAUAUUUUUAUUGUUUUGUAGACUAUAAUUCUAUUCUGCUGUUAUUGGAGUCAUCCAAAGUGAAAAUUUUGAAGCACCUACGAAGACAUCAAUAUGCUGAAGAAUCACCCUUUUGUUAGAUUUGAGGAUCCUCGCGCCCGUCAACCGUGGAGGAGCCGGCCAUAGAGGUGAUUGCCACGGAGGAGCAGAAGCCGCGGGUGGGCGGCGGUGCAGGUUGGCCUUCAUCGCGCGCUGGGCGCAUCUGGGGCUGCUUCCUGCCGCAGGCGAUGAGGGAAGGAGGAACUAAGCCCACGACAAGCUUUUUUGGAUGGAGGGAGUAUUUGUGUUAAGUGUUACUCGCGAUGGGCGACCCCAGCGCUGCGCCCCUCCACCAGGCCCCCACAGGUGGCGGCCACCCUUCCGGCGCCUCCCGGUGACCAAAGCCAUGGCGAACGCGAACAAAAUGGAGUCCACGCGGGAGCGGAAGCUUGCGCUUCACCGGAACAUAGGUCAAUUAUAUCUUAAUUUUCGUUGAGGAUGGUUCUCUACACUGACGUGAUGUGACCGUGUGAAGUUCGUACCUGAAACCUCUGGAGCAUUGACUUUUUGUUUGUAGGAUUCUGAAACCGUGUUAUGCUAUGAGCAGACGGUGGCACUUCUAACAGAGAGGGCUAAUCAGAGUUUAGGGGGCAAAGGAGAUAAAUUAUCCAUAAACUCCGAGAAAUCUUUGAUAUUCAAGUGUAAUAAUUAAGGGUACACUUAAGAAUUUUUCUAGAGUAGGGGGACAAUGGCCCCCUUUGACCCCAUGAAGCUCCGCUACGGAUGCAGACUACGGGAAAACGAAUGGAUUAAGAUGAAGACGGUCAGUUCAAUUAGCGAGCAUGUGAAGGCUUGUGACACCUUCCAGCUAACACUUCAAUUUCUACCCGGUGAUGCAGCUAGAAGGACAGCCGCCUGUCUGAUGGAGCGGUUCUUGUUGCCUGUGUGGCGAAUCUGGAGAGCGUUGCUCCGGAAGCUCGCCUCGGUUGACCUCGUGGGGCUCUCCCAUCAGCAAAAGCUAGCCUUAUGGAUCAAUAUCUACUAAAUGACCCGUUGUGCCUAUGAAGCAAAAAGCGAGAGCAAGCCGAGCAUUCAAACAAUGCAAGUGAGAUUCAAUUAGAACCAAUUUAAUAGAUACUUAGGUACACAUAGCCCUAUAUAUUCCAUUGCAUGGUAGCAUGAUGCCUCAAAAGAAAGUUAUGACAUCACUUGAUGAUAACUUACAUUGGCUUUAUAAAGCAAGUUGUAUUAGCAGAGAUGCAUCACAUAUAUAGCACAAGCUUUGGCUUGAAUAGGACACGAAGGCGGUGGUAUUAGGUAGAGUCAUUAUUGCAUGUCCCAUCAAUAUCAAACAUGAUUUCAUCUAAGCAACUCUUACUGGCAGGUGUGUUUGGUGGGCUAUUGUAAGUGAAAGCAAAGAUGUCUUCCAUAUCGCCGAAUUCAUAUCUAAACCCGAGUGAUGCUUGAGACCAAAUGAAUAGAACUCAACUGUUGCUUCGAGGCCAAUCGUUCUGGCUUUGCAGGUUGAGUGAACUGCAUUUAGAAGUUGAAGCUGCUACAACAUAUCAUCCAGAAGCCUUUGUUGGGAUACUAACCUAAGCAUACAAAGAACAUGGAGUCAACUAAAAGAAAGUUUAAUAAAAACUAAAAUAAUAAAAAGCAGUAAAAGCUAAAAAAAUGGCAUAAAGCUAUUUCUAGAACAACACUUUUCACCACGACUAUUUUUUAGAACCUGUUCAUAGCAUAAAUUGCAUGGUUCAACAACUCAAGAAUGUCAAGCUAUUUUUUUGUAACCUUGUUCAUCAAUCACAUUUACGGAUCUUAGUAAAAAGGGAUGGAUACAAGGAGAUAUAAAAAAAAUCGACAAUAAGGCACACCCAUUUGGACAACAACGUGAGACAUAACAAUGUGAAAAGUAAAAAAGCAAGGACAAAUAUUCUGAUUUCAUCAGGUUGCGAGAACUAUCAUAAAUAAAUGCACUUCAUUACAUCAGAACCUUUCCCUGGAUGUGUCUUCAUCUUACGAACAUGUGAAAUAAUAAGAUCUAUGCAGACUACAUAUAUACACAAAAUAAAAGGAGAUAUAAGAAAAUCAUUCGAGGUUGAAGUAAAAUUCUGAAACUCUGGAUAUGUCAUGGACAAUUCGGCCUCAUGACAGUUAUUGCUAAUUUAUUUGUGAAUUUGUCAACCAACACAUACUCCAUACCCUAGGCCUAGGGUAAACGUCCGAAACUGUGGACAUUCAAGGUUGACCAUGUGCAAGAUAAAAAAAAUACUGCUAACAUACACAAAAGAAAAUGAGAUAUGCAGUUCGACAAUGCAAAUGGUUUAAAAUGAAGUAUUCAUACCCUGGGCCUUCAACCAUGGUGCCUAAAUCUUUUUUCUGCAAAGCAAAUGCAUCGGUACUGCAACGUGAAAAAAAUUAUCCUCCGGCUCAUUCAGAUAUGAGAGCAACUGGAUCUGCUCUGAAGGCUGAAACUGUAGAGAAUUUAGCUCACCUCAGAAGCAACCAAGCGAACCAUCCACAUCUCAGAAUUGUAACGACAUGAGAAUUCGGCACCUGCCGACACUAUGCAUGCGAAUAUUUGCAUCAGUAAAUAUUGCUUUGUGACACACUUGGAUAUCCAAUAGCUCCAAAGUGCACACAGAAUUAUAAUUGUAGACUGUAGGCUAUCCAUUGACAAGUUUUUUAUUGUUGCAUGGCAUUGCGAAAAUGAGGAGCAUUGUAAUGUCAAUGCGUUGGUACAGAAAAGAUUACUACAACAAUAAAAAGAAAAUUAUAACAUAAUGUUAACAAACUGAACAAAUUGCUUAUGCACAACAUCAAAUUGUUCAAGAGUCCAAUUAGAACAGAGAGUUAUGUAGUUAUAACCAAGUGAACUGAUUACAUUAUCGAGUAGCCUACAAAUAUAUAUAUGGUCAUACGCAGACAUACAAUUAUUAGUUAUAAAAGUUCAGAUCCACUACAUGGAGUAUGAUUCAGCCACACAUCAUAAGUGGGUGAGAUGAUUCAUUAUAUUUAGGAUAAAACAUAAAAGAAAUAUAAAGCCAAAGGCCCGCUACAUGAGCUUUAUGUAGGCGAUAACACAGGCUCAUGAUGAUGCCCUUAGAGGCAACGAACAGGAAAAGUGAGGCGGUGUUGUACUGACAGCACAACCCUCUAGGCCUCUACCUCAUAAUUAUUAACCUUGUACAUAGGUGAUAACAACGACCAGAAGACAACUUUAGUUAGCGCAGGAGCAAAGGUACGAGGCAACAAAGAUCCCAUUUCAAACUUAUUUGAAAAUAAAUGCUUAGUAAUUUGGCAAUACUCAGAACCCUUUUAACAACCGAAAUUUAGGCAAACAUCUCUUUCAAAAUAUAUAAGAGUUUUCAAAAUGCGGCCAUAAGUUCUAUUUGUACAAUUUGUUGUAUUAGAUGAUUUGUUGCGUCUAAUACGUAAAAUACAUAGAAAGCUACAGAAUGUAAAACAUGACAAACAAUCCUCCAUUGCAUCAAUUAAAACAUGCAGCAACUGAUAAAAGCUGAUGAUUGAAUUUUUGUGUUAUCUUUGUAACAGAUAAAAGAAACACUCUAGGCACAUAUUGACCAUAGCACUUUGGGUCAAAAUUAAAUUCAGAUAAGUAUAUAAAAUCAGCAAUGCUAGAUAACUGAAAGGAAAAAUGUCUUGGCAAAGUCGAUCAAUACCAUAAAGCAAAUGAAGUAUGGUUUUGAGUCAGCAAAAUCAAUCAACAAAAGCCGUGAAACUUGUGGUCAUCGAGAGAAGAGCAUUAUCCUUCUCCCUAUCAUCACGCUUGAUUCUUCUGCCACAAGAUAGAAAUAGACUACUUUCUCAAGCUUCAUAGAUGAAUCCUGAUAGAAACAAACUACUUGAGAAUCACAGUUGUGCAAAAUUGCAAAUGACUAAGAAAAGAUUAUAUAUUAAUAUUCUGAAUCAGUGUGUCACUAAACAUAUAUAUGUGUCAAUUAAUUGAAGAAACAAAAGAUAAAUGGUUACACUGCUGAUCAGAUUGUUACCCCAUCAUAUAGGAAUGGCUUAUUUCUUGCAUUUUCCCAAGCAAAGGUACGGUUUAUCAGGUUGCCCACCAUAGCUGGGAAAGAUAUGGGUCUUGCGACUGAAAUACACGAAUAGUUCUCCAGCCUUUUCUGCCCUUUUAAGGUUUACGUGAGCAUCCCUUCCAGAACUAUACCUCUUUGAGUCCUGCAAAAUAGCUUUGGUGUCAUUUUUCAUACUUAGGGAACCAUAUAAUUUUCUAUAAAAAUGCAUGCAGGCAGGUUAGUCAGUGUAACAAGUGCAUAUGCUAUGCUCAGUAUUUGAUCAUUGUAAGCCCAAAGCAAAUAGCCUAAAACUACAUGGUUAUAUUCUUCAAGCCAAGCCUCUUCAUCACAAGCACCAAUCCAUUUAUUUAACCUGUCCAUAAUAUCUUUUCGACUUAGUGACUCUUCUUCUGCUUUCAAUAUUUGUGACUCGAUAUUCAUGAGGAGCCCACAAGGGUAAAUAGUGCCUGAAUGGUGCAUAGGCAAGAGUCACAAUGUGUAAGAAAACAACCACUGGUGAAGAUAGUUACUUGAGCAAGAUGCAUAAAGUAUAACCAGAAUCAAUCAGAGUGUUGGUUUGCUCAGGGGGCUAUGCUGAGAUCAAGUUCUAUGUGUGCAUUCUCGCAUAAAUGUUCUAAUUCGGUCCUUCUCUUUGUGACAAGUUCUUCCAUUCUGUUCGUUUUAACUUCUGUUAACCUCUCAACCGCAGCUUCCAUCUGCAUAAGAAAUCAGCACUGAAGUUGUAAAAAAUGAUUAAGGUAAGCAACAAAAAAGGUAUUAAAGAAAAACCAAAGGCGAUCUGGAAAACCUUCCUGAUUGUUUCCUAGGAAAGAACACCAACGGGCGUGGUUCCCUCUUCUGGUGAUAUGAGAAUGCUGAUUACUUUGCUGAAUUGUCUCUUCUCCUCUUUAGAAGAGUCCAUUAACUUCCGGAGGUGACAUAAUGAUUCCAUUGUGUCUCUCAUCUAUAGGCAAACGAUUGCUUGAGAAUGCAUUAUGCAGAACUCAUAUAAAAAAGUUAGAUGAAAGGAACCUUGAGAGUACCUUAUCGAUUCUAGAUUUUCUCUGUGCUUUAAGAUUUGAUAUUGUGCUAGCAAGACCUUCCAGUGUGCCAUUGUUGAUGUUUCUGGACUGCUCAACACAAUUCUGAUGUAGACUGGGAUGAAUCCAUUUACAGUCUUGCGAAAUCAGGGACUCCACAUAAAGAAUGCACUUCAUUUACAUAUUUCAGAACUUUGUGAAGUAUAUCAGACUAAAAAUAUUGCAAACAAGGAAAUGAUACGUCUCCAACGUAUCUAUAAUAUUUGAUUGUUCCAUGCUAUUAUAUUAUCUGUUUUGGAUGUUUAUGGGCUUUAUUAUACACGUUUAUAUUAUUUUUGGGACUAACCUAUUAACCGGAGGCCUAGCCCAAAUUGCUGUUUUCUUGCCUAUUUCAGUGUUCCGAAGAAAAGGAAUAUCAAACGGAGUCCAAAAGGAAUGAAACCUUCGGGAGAGUUAUUUUUGGAACGGAAGCAAUCCAGGAGACUUGGAGUAGACGUCAGGGAAGCUUCGAGGUGGCCACGAGGCAGCGAGGCGCGCCCUGUUGGAAAUAUGCUCUAGAGGCAAUAAUAAAAUGGUUAUUAUUAUAUUUCCUUGUUCAUGAUAAUUGUCUAUUGUUCAUGCUAUAAUUGUGUUAUCCGGAAAUCGUAAUACAUGUGUGAAUACAUAGACCACAACGUGUCCCUAGUAAGCCUCUAGUUGACUAGCUCGUUGAUCAACAGAUAGUCAUGGUUUCCUGACUAUGGACAUUGGAUGUCAUUGAUAACGGGAUCACAUCAUUAGGAGAAUGAUGUGAUGGACAAGACCCAAUCCUAAGCAUAGCACAAAGAUCGUGUAGUUCGUUUGCUAGAGCUUUUCCAAUGUCAAGUAUCAUUUCCUUAGACCAUGAGAUCGUGUAACUCCCGGAUGCCGUAGGAGUGCUUUGGGUGUACUAAACGUCACAACGUAACUAGGUGACUAUAAAGGUACACUACAGGUAUCUCUGAAAGUGUCUGUUGGGUUGACACGGAUCGAGACUGGGAUUUGUCACUCCGUAUGACGGAGAGGUAUCUCUGGGCCCACUCGGUAAUGCAUCAUCAUAAUGAGCUCAAUGUGACCAAGUGUUUGGUCACGGGAUCAUGCAUUACGGUAUGAGUAAAGUGACUUGCCGGUAACGAGAUUGAACGAGGUAUUGGGAUACCGACGAUCGAAUCUCGGGCAAGUAAUGUACCGGUUGACAAAGGGAAUUGUAUACGGGAUUGAUUGAAUCCUCGACAUCGUGGUUCAUCCGAUGAGAUCAUCGAGGAACAUGUGGGAGCCAACAUGGGUAUCCAGAUCCCGCUGUUGGUUAUUGAACGGAGAGUCGUCUCGGUCAUGUCUGCAUGUCUCCCGAACCCGUAGGGUCUACACACUUAAGGUUCGGUGACGCUAGGGUUUUAGAGAUAUUAGUAUGCGGUAAUCCGAAAGUUGUUCGGAGUCCCGGAUGAGAUCCCGGACGUCACGAGGAGUUCCGGAAUGGUCCGGAGGUGAAGAAUUAUAUAUAGGAAGUCCAGUUUCGGCCACCGGGAAAGUUUCGGGGGUUACCGGUAUUGUACCGGGACCACCGGAAGGGUCCCGGGGGUCCACCGGGUGGGGCCACCUAUCCCGGAGGGCCCCAUGGGCUGAAAUGGGAGGGGAACCAGCCCCUGGUGGGCUGGUGCGCCCCCCUUGGGCCUCCCCCUGAUCUCCCAGGGCCGGCGCCCCCCAGGAGGCCUAUAUAUAGGAGGGGGGAGGGAGGGCAGCCACACCACAGCCCCUGGCGCCUCCCUCUCCCUCCCGUGACACAUCUCCCUCCUCCCGCAGCGCUCGGCGAAGCCCUGUCGGAAUCCCGCUACUUCCACCACCACGCCGUCGUGCAGCUGGAUCUCCAUCAACCUCUCCUCCCCCCUUGCUGGAUCAAGAAGGAGGAGACGUCGCUGCUCCGUACGUGUGUUGAACGCGGAGGUGCCGUCCGUUCGGUGCUCGGUCAUCGGUGAUUUGGAUCACGACGAGUACGACCCCAUCAACCACGUUCACUUGAACGCUUCCGCUCGCGAUCUACAAGGGUAUGUAGAUGCACUCCUCUCUCUCGUUGCUAGAUGACUCCAUAGAUUGAUCUUGGUGAUGCGUAGAAAAUUUUAAAUUUCUGCUACGAUCCCCAUUAGUGGUAUCAGAGCCAGGCCUAUGCGUAGUUUCUAUGCACGAGUAGAACACAAACUUGUUGUGGGCGUAGAUGUUGUCAAUUUUCUUGCCACUACUAGUCUUAUCUUGUUUCGGCGGCAUUGUGGGAUGAAGCGGUCCGGACCGACCUUACACGUACGCUUACGUGAGACAGGUUCCACCGACUGACAUGCACUAGUUGCAUAAGGUGGUUAGCGGGUGUCUGUCUCUCCCACUUUAGUCGGAACGGAUUCGAUGAAAAGGGUCCUUAUGAAGGGUAAAUAAAAAUUGGCAUAUCACGUUGUGGUUUUACGUAGGUAAGAAACGUUCUUGCUAGAAACCUAUAGAAGCCACGUAAAAACAUGCAACAAUAAUUAGAGGACGUCUAACUUGUUUUUGCAGCAUGUGCCUUGUGAUGUGAUAUGGCCAAAAGGAUGUGAUGAAUGAGAUAUAUGUGAUGUAUGAGAUUGAUCAUGUUCUUGUAAUAGGAAUCACGACUUGCAUGUCGAUGAGUAUGACAACCGGCAGGAGCCAUAGGAGUUGUCUUUAUUUUUUGUAUGACCUGCGUGUCAUUGAAUAACGCCAUGUAAAUUACAUUACUUUAUUGCUAAACACGUUAGCGAUAGAAGUAGAAGUAAUCGUUGGCGUGACAACUUCAUGAAGACACGAUGAUGGAGAUCAUGAUGAUGGAGAUCAUGGUGUCAUGCCGGUGACGAAGAUGAUCAUGGCGCCCCGAAGAUGGAGAUCAAAAGGAGCAAAAUGAUAUUGGCCAUAUCAUGUCACUAUUUGAUUGCAUGUGAUGUUUAUCAUGUUUUACAUCUUAUUUGCUUAGAACGACGGUAGCUUAAAUAAGAUGAUCCCUCGCAAUAAUUUCAAGAAAGUGUUCCCCCUAACUGUGCACCGUUGCGAAGGUUCGUUGUUUCGAAGCACCACGUGAUGAUCGGGUGUGAUAGAUUCUAACGUUCGAAUACAACGGGUGUAAGCCAGAUUUACACACGCAAUACACUUAGGUUGACUUGACGAGCCUAGCAUGUAUAGACAUGGCCUCGGAACACGGAAGACCGAAAGGUCGAGCAUGAGUCGUAUAGAAGAUACGAUCAACAUGAAGAUGUUCACCGAUGUUGACUAGUCCGUCUCACGUGAUAAUCGGACACGGCCUAGUUGACUCGGAUCAUGUUUCACUUAGAUGACUAGAGGGAUGUCUAUCUGAGUGGGAGUUCAUUGAAUAAUUUGAUUAGAUGAACUUAAUUAUCAUGAACUUAGUCUAAAAUCUUUACAAUAUGUCUUGUAGAUCAAAUGACCCACGUUGCCCUCAACUUCAACGCGUUCGUAGAGAAAACCAAGCUGAAAGAUGAUGGCAGCAACUAUACGGACUGGGUCCGGAACCUGAGGAUCAUCCUCAUAGCUGCCAAGAAACAUUAUGUCCUAGAAGCACCGCUAGGUGAAGCACCCAUCCCAGAGAACCAAGACGUUAUGAACGCUUGGCAGUCACGUGCUGAUGAUUACUCCCUCGUUCAGUGCGGCAUGCUUUACAGCUUAGAACCGGGGCUCCAAAAGCGUUUUGAGCAAAACAGAGCAUAUGAGAUGUUCGAAGAGCUGAAAAUGGUUUUCCAAGCUCAUGCCCGGGUCGAGAGAUAUGAAGUCUCCGACAAGUUCUUCAGUUGUAAGAUGGAGGAAAACAGUUCUGUCAGUGAGCACAUACUCAAAAUGUCUGGGUUGCACAACCGCUUGACUCAGCUGGGAGUUAAUCUCCCGGAUGACGCGGUCAUUGACAGAAUCCUUCAGUCGCUUCCACCAAGCUACAAGAGCUUUGUGAUGAACUUCAAUAUGCAGGGGAUGGAAAAGACCAUUCCUGAGGUAUAUUCAAUGCUGAAAUCAGCGGAGGUGGAGAUCAGAAAGGAACAUCAAGUGUUGAUGGUGAAUAAAACCACUAAGUUCAAGAAAGGCAAGGGUAAGAAGAACUUCAAGAAGGACGGCAAGAGAGUUGCCGCGCCCGGUAAGCCAGUUGCCGGGAAGAAACCAAAGAAUGGACCCAAGCCUGAGACUGAGUGCUUUUAUUGCAAGGGAAGUGGUCACUGGAAGCGGAACUGCCCCAAAUACUUAGCGGACAAGAAGGCCGGCAACACCAAAGGUAUAUGUGAUAUACAUGUAAUUGAUGUGUACCUUACCAGUACUCGUAGUAGCUCCUGGGUAUUUGAUACCGGUGCGGUUGCUCAUAUUUGUAACUCAAAACAGGAGCUGCGGAAUAAGCGGAGACUGGCGAAGGACGAGGUGACGAUGCGUGUCGGGAAUGGUUCCAAGGUCGAUGUGAUCGCCGUCGGCACGCUACCUCUACAUUUACCUACGGGAUUAGUUUUAAACCUCAAUAAUUGUUAUUUAGUGCCAGCUUUGAGCAUGCACAUUGUAUCAGGAUCUCGUUUAAUGCGAGAUGGCUACUCAUUUAAAUCCGAGAAUAAUGGUUGUUCUAUUUAUAUGAGAGAUAUGUUUUAUGGUCAUGCCCCGCUGGUCAAUGGUUUAUUCUUAAUGAAUCUCGAACGUGAUGUUACACAUAUUCAUAGUGUGAAUACCAAAAGAUGUAAAGUUGAUAACGAUAGUCCCACAUACUUGUGGCACUGCCGCCUUGGUCACAUUGGUGUCAAGCGCAUGAAGAAGCUCCAUGCAGAUGGACUUUUGGAGUCUCUUGAUGACGAAUCAUUUGACACGUGCGAACCAUGCCUCAUGGGCAAAAUGACCAAGACUCCGUUCUCCGGAACAAUUUAGCGAGCAACCAACUUAUUAGAAAUCAUACAUACUGAUGUGUGCGGUCCAAUGAGUGUUGAGGCUCGCGGAGGCUAUCGUUAUGUUCUCACUCUCACUGAUGACUUGAGUAGAUAUGGGUAUGUCUACCUAAUGAAACACAAGUCUGAGACCUUUGAAAAGUUCAAGGAAUUUUAGAGUGAGGAUGAGAAUCAACGUGACAGGAAAAUAAAGUUCCUACGAUCAGACCGUGGAGGGGAAUAUUUAAGUCACGAAUUUGGCACACACUUAAGGAAAUGUGGAAUAGUUUCACAACUCACGCCGCCUGGAACACCUCAGCGAAAUGGUGUGUCCGAACGUCGUAAUCGCACUCUAUUGGAUAUGGUGCGAUCUAUGAUGUCUCUUACCGAUCUACCGCUCUCAUUUUGGGGCUAUGCUUUAGAGACUGCCGCAUUCACUUUAAAUAGGGCUCCGUCGAAAUCCGUUGAGACGACACCGUAUGAAUUAUGGUUUGGGAAGAAACCUAAGCUGUUGUUUCUAAAAGUUUGGGGAUGCGAUGCUUAUGUCAAGAAACUUCAACCUGAAAAGCUCGAACCCAAGUCGGAAAAAUGCGUCUUCAUAGGAUACCCUAAGGAAACCAUUGGGUAUACCUUCUACCUCAGAUCCGAAGGCAAGAUCUUUGUUGCCAAGAACGGGUCCUUUCUGGAGAAAGAGUUUCUCUCAAAAGAAGUGAGUGGGAGGAAAGUGGAACUUGAUGAGGUGAUAGUCACCCCUUCCGAACCGGAAAGUAGCGCAGCGCGGGAAAAUGUUCCUGUGGUGCCUGCACCGACUGGGGAGGAAGUUAAUGAUGAUCAUGAAGCUUCAGAUCAAGUUACUGCUGAACUUCGUAGGUCCACAAGGACACGUUCCGCACCAGAGUGGUACAGCAACCCUGUCUUGGAAAUCAUGUUGUUAGACAACGGUGAACCUUCGAACUAUGAAGAAGCGAUGGCGGGCCCGGAUUCGAACAAAUGGCUUGAAGCCAUGCAAUCCGAGAUAGGAUCCAUGUAUGAAAACAAAGUAUGGACUUUGACUGACUUGCCCGAUGAUCGGCGAGCGAUAGAAAACAAAUGGAUCUUUAAGAAGAAGACAGACGCGGAUGGUAAUGUGACCAUCUAUAAGGCUCGACUUGUCGCUAAGGGUUAUCAACAAGUUCAAGGGGUUGACUACGAUGAGACUUUCUCACCCGUAGCGAAGCUGAAGUCCGUCCGAGUCAUGUUAGCAAUUGUCGCAUUCUAUGAUUAUGAGAUAUGGCAAAUGGACGUCAAAACGGCAUUCCUUACCGGCUUUCUUAAGGAAGAAUUGUAUAUGAUGCAGCCGGAAGGUUUUGUCGAUCCUAAGAAUGCUAACAAGGUAUGCAAGCUCCAGCGCUCCAUCUAUGGGUUGGUGCAAGCAUCUCGGAGUUGGAACAUUCGAUUUGAUGAGAUGAUCAAAGCAUUUGGGUUUACACAGACUUAUGGAGAAGCCUGUGUUUACAAGAAAGUGAGUGGGAGCUCUGUAGCAUUUCUCUUAUUAUAUGUGGAUGACAUACUAUUGAUGGGAAAUGAUGUAGAAUUCUUGGAAAGUAUAAAGGCCUAUUUGAAUAAGUGUUUUUCAAUGAAGGACCUUGGAGAAGCUGCUUAUAUAUUAGGCAUCAAGAUCUAUAGAGAUAGAUCAAGACGCCUCAUUGGUCUUUCACAGAGUACGUACCUUGACAAGAUAUUGAAGAAGUUCAAUAUGGAUCAGUCCAAGAAGGGGUUCUUGCCUGUAUUGCAAGGUGUGCAAUUGAGUACGGCUCAAUGCCCGACCACGGCAGAAGAUAGAGAAAAGAUGAGUGUCGUCCCCUAUGCCUCGGCCAUAGGGUCUAUUAUGUAUGCCAUGCUGUGUACCAGACCUGAUGUAAACCUUGCCGUAAGUUUGGUAGGAAGGUACCAAAGUAAUCCCGGCAUGGAACACUGGACAGCGGUCAAGAAUAUCCUAAGUACCUGAAGAGGACUAAGGAUAUGUUUCUCGUUUAUGGAGGUGACGAAGAGCUCGUCGUAAAGGGUUACGUCGAUGCUAGCUUCGACACAGAUCUGGAUGACUCUAAGUCACAAACCGGAUACGUGCAUAUUUUGAAUGGAGGGGCAGUAAGCUGGUGCAGUUGCAAGCAAAGCGUCGUGGCGGGAUCUACAUGUGAAGCGGAGUACAUGGCGGCCUCAGAGGUAGCGCAAGAAGCAAUCAGGAUGAAGGAGUUCAUUACCGACCUAGGGGUGAUUCCCAAUGCGUCGGGCCCGAUGACUCUCUUCUGUGACAACACUGGAGCUAUUGCCCUUGCCAAGGAGCCCAGGUUUCACAAGAAGACCAGGCAUAUCAAGCGUCGCUUCAACUCCAUUCGUGAAAGUGUUCAAAAUGGAGACAUAGAUAUUUGUAAAGUACAUACGGACCUAAAUGUAGCAGAUCCGUUGACUAAACCUCUCCCUAGAGCAAAACAUGAUCAACACCAGAACUCUAUGGGUGUUCGAUCCAUCACAAUGUAACUAGAUUAUUGACUCUAGUGCAAGUGGGAGACUGUUGGAAAUAUGCCCUAGAGGCAAUAAUAAAAUGGUUAUUAUUAUAUUUCCUUGUUCAUGAUAAUUGUCUAUUGUUCAUGCUAUAAUUGUGUUAUCCAGAAAUCGUAAUACAUGUGUGAAUACAUAGACCACAACGUGUCCCUAGUAAGCCUCUAGUUGACUAGCUCGUUGAUCAACAGAUAGUCAUGGUUUCCUGACUAUGGACAUUGGAUGUCAUUGAUAACGGGAUCACAUCAUUAGGAGAAUGAUGUGAUGGACAAGACCCAAUCCUAAGCAUAGCACAAAGAUCGUGUAGUUCGUUUGCUAGAGCUUUUCCAAUGUCAAGUAUCAUUUCCUUAGACCAUGAGAUCGUGUAACUCCCGGAUGCCGUAGGAGUGCUUUGGGUGUACCAAACGUCACAACGUAACUGGGUGACUAUAAAGGUACACUGCAGGUAUCUCUGAAAGUUUCUCUUGGGUUGACACGGAUCGAGACUGGGAUUUGUCACUCUGUAUGACGGAGAGGUAUCUCUGGGCCCACUCAGUAAUGCAUCAUCAUAAUGAGCUCAAUGUGACCAAGUGUUUGGUCACAGGAUCAUGCAUUACGGUACGAGUAAAGUUACUUGCCGGUAACGAGAUUGAACGAGGUAUUGGGAUACCGACGAUCGAAUCUCGGGCAAGUAACAUACCGGUUGACAAAGGGAAUUGUAUACGGGAUUGAUUGAAUCCUCGACAUCGUGGUUCAUCCGAUGAGAUCAUCGAGGAACAUGUGGGAGCCAACAUGGGUAUCCAGAUCCCGCUGUUGGCUAUUGACCGGAGAGUCGUCUCGGUCAUGUCUGCAUGUCUCCCGAACCCGUAGGGUCUACACACUUAAGGUUCGGUGACGCUAGGGUUGUAGAGAUAUUAGUAUGCGGUAACCCGAAAAUUAUUCAGAGUCCCGGAUGAGAUCCCGGACGUCACGAGGAGUUCCGGAAUGGUCUGGAGGUGAAGAAUUAUAUAUAGGAAGUCCAGUUUCGGCCACCGGGAAAGUUUCGGGGUUUACCGGUAUUGUACCGGGACCACCGGAAGGGUCCCGGGGGUCCACCGGGUGGGGCCACCUAUCCCGGAGGGCCCCAUGGGCUGAAGUGGGAGGGGAACCAGCCCCUGGUGGGCUGGUGCGCCCCCCCUUGGGCCUCCCCCUGCGCCUAGGGUUGGAAACCCUAGGGGUGGGGGCGCCCCCCACUUGGCUUGGGGGGAAGCCACCCCUUGGCCGCCGCCCCCCUUGGAGAUCUGAUCUCCCAGGGCUGGCGCCCCCCCAGGAGGCCUAUAUUGUUGGGGAACAUAGUAAUUUCAAAAAAUUUCUACGCACACGGAAGAUCAUGGUGAUGCAUAGCAACGAGAGGGGAGAGUGUUGUCCACGUACCCGCGUAGACCGAUAGCGGAAGCGUUUAACACAACGCGGUUGAUGUAGUCGUACGUCUUCACGAUCCGACUGAUCAAGUACCGAACGCACGGCACCUCCAAGUUCAGCACACGUUCAGCUCGAUGACGUCCCUCGAACUCCGAUCCAGCCGAGUGUUGAGGGAGAGUUUUGUCAGCACGACGGCGUGGUGACAAUGUUGAUGUUCUACCGACGCAGGGCUUCGCCUAAGCACCGCUACACAGCUAAGAGAUCAAUGAUCAAUUGUGUGUCUAUGGGGUGUCCCCCUGCCCCCAUAUAUAAAGGAGCAAGGGGGGAGGCGGCCGGCCUAGGAGGAGGGCGCGCCAAGGGGGGAGUCCUACUCCCAUCGGGAGUAGGACUCCUCCUUUCCUUGUUGGAGUAGGAAAAGGGAAGGGAGAAGGAGAAAGAAGGAAGGGGGCGCUCCCCCUCCCUAGUCCAAUUCGGACUAGUCCAUGGGGAGGGGUGCGGCCUCCCUUUGGGGUCUUUCUCUCCUUUCCCGUAUGGCCUAUUAAGGCCCAAUACGAAUUCCCGUAACUCUCCGUUACUCCGAAAAAUACCCGAAUCACUCGGAACCUUUCCGAAGUCCGAAUAUAGUCGUCCAAUAUAUCGAUCUUUACGUCUCGGACAUUUCGAGACUCCUCGUCAUAUCCCCGAUCUCAUCCGGGACUCCGAACUCCUUCGGUACAUCAAAAUACAUAAACUCAUAAUAAAACUGUCAUUGUAACGUUAAGCGUGCGGACCCUAUGGGUUCGAGAACUAUGUAGACAUGACCGAGACACCUCUCCGGUCAAUAACCAAUAGCGGAACCUGGAUGCUCAUAUUGGUUCUCACAUAUUCUAUGAAGAUCUUUAUCGGUCAGACCGCAUAACAACAUACGUUGUUCCCUUUGUCAUCAGUAUGUUACUUGCCCGAGAUUCGAUCGUCGGUAUCUCGAUACCUAGUUCAAUCUCGUUACCGGCAAGUCUCUUUACUCGUUCCGUAAUACAUCAUCCCGCAACUAACUCAUUAGUCACAAUGCUUGCAAGGCUUAUAGUGAUGUGUAUUACUGAGUGGGCCCAGAGAUACCUCUCCGACACUCGGAGUGACAAAUCCUAAUCUCGAAAUACGCAACCCAACAAGUACCUUUGGAGACACCUGUAGAGCACCUUUAUAAUCACCCAGUUACGUUGUGACAUUUGGUAGCACACAAAGUGUUCCUCCGGUAAACGGGAGUUGCAUAAUCUCGUAGUCAUAGGAACAUGUAUAAGUCAUGAAGAAAGCAAUAGCAACAUACUAAACGAUCGAGUGCUAAGCUAACGGAAUGGGUCAAGUCAAUCACAUCAUUCUCCUAAUGAUGUGAUCCCGUUAAUCAAAUGACAACUCAUGUCUAUGGCUAGGAAACAUAACCAUCUUUGAUCAACGAGCUAGUCAAGUAGAGGCAUACUAGUGACACUCUGUUUGUCUAUGUAUUCACACAAGUAUUAUGUUUUCGGUUAAUAAAAUUCUAGCAUGAAUAAUAAACAUUUAUCAUGAUAUAAGGAAAUAAAUAAUAACUUUAUUAUUGCCUCUAGGGCAUAUUUCCUUCAUAUAUAUAGGAGGGGGGAGGGAGGGCAGCCGCACCACAGCCCCUGGCGCCUCCCUCUGCCUCCCGUGACACAUCUCCCUCCUCCUGCAGCGCUCGGCGAAGCCCUGUCGGAAUCCCGCUACUUGCACCACCACGCCGUCGUGCUGCUGGAUCUCCAUCAACCUCUCCUCCCCCCUUGUUGGAUCAAGAAGGAGGAGACGUCGCUGCUCCGUACGUGUGUUGAACGCGGAGGUGCCGUCCGUUCGGCGCUCGGUCAUCGGUGAUUUGGAUCACGACGAGUACGACUCCAUCAACCCCGUUCACUUGAACGCUUCCGCUCGCGAUCUACAAGGGUAUGUAGAUGCACUCCUCUCUCUCGUUGCUAGAUGACUCCAUAGAUUGAUCUUGGUGAUGCGUAGAAAAUUUUAAAUUUCUGCUACGAUCCCCAACACGCCCCCACCCUCGUGGGCCCCUCGUUGCUCCCCUGAUCGACUUCUUUCGCCUAUAUAUGUCCAUAUACCCUAAAAACAU